rnacentral:rRNA from 1 species
AACGAACGCUGGCGGCAUGCCUAACACAUGCCAGUCGAACGAGACCUUCGGGUCUAGUGGCGCACGGGUGCGUAACGCGUGGGAACCUGCCCUUAGGUUCGGAAUAACUCCCCGAAAGGGGUGCUAAUACCGGAUAAUGUCUUCGGACCAAAGAUUUAUCGCCUUUGGAUGGGCCCGCGUUGGAUUAGCUAGUUGGUAGGGUAAAAGCCUACCAAGGCGACGAUCCAUAGCUGGUCUGAGAGGAUGAUCAGCCACACUGGGACUGAGACACGGCCCAGACCCCUAGGGGAGGCAGCAGGGGGGAAAAUUGGACAAUGGGCGAAAGCCGGAUCCAGCAAUGCCGGGGGAGUGAUGAAGGCCUUGGGGUUGAAAAGCUCUUUUCCCCGGGAUGAAAAGGACAGUACCGGGAGAAUAAGCUCCGGCUAACUCCGU